GUGGUUUUAACUUCAGCCAUAAGGACAACCAACCCAAAACGAUAGCCACAAAAGAAACACAGAAUCAUAAAACAGUACCCGGCGUGAAUAGUACCGAUGAACAGUACCACGUGAACAGUACCCGUGAACAAUGCCGAUGAACAGUACCCCUGAAUAUGAAUAGAACCUAAAACACCUCCACCCAACACCUGAACGGCAAACAAACCUCAGAUCUGACAAGAGGACGGUGUGGCGACUCUAUCGACGGUGAGAUCCAAAUGUUAGCCUUUAUGAGUAACCCAAAUG
rnacentral:lncRNA from 1 species